ACGGAAGGCAGCAGUGAGGAAUAUUGGUCAAUGGGCGGAAGCCUGAACCAGCCAAGUCGCGUGAAGGAUGAAGGUAUUAUGUAUUGUAAACUUCUUUAGCAGCAGAGAAAUAAGAGGGUCGUGACCCUUGAUGCUAGUAUGCUGAGAAUAAGCAUCGGCUAACUCCGUGCCAGCAGCCGCGGUAAUACGGAGGAUGCGAGCGUUAUCCGGAUUUAUUGGGUUUAAAGGGUGCGCAGGCGGUCUUUUAAGUCAGUGGUCAAAUCGUGGUGCUCAACGCCAUCCCGCCAUUGAUACUGGGAGACUUGAGUGCGGUAGAGGUAGGCGGAAUUCGUAGUGUAGCGGUGAAAUGCGUAGAUAUGACGAAGAACACCGAUUGCGUAGGCAGCUUACCAAGCCGUAAAUGACGCUCAUGCACGAAAGUGCGGGGAUCGAACAGGAUUAGAUACCCUGGUA
rnacentral:rRNA from 1 species